rnacentral:rRNA from 1 species
GGUGAACGCUGGCGGCGUGCCUGACACAUGCAAGUCGUACGGGCGGACCCCCUACGGGGGGCGAGCCAGUGGCGAACGGGUGAGUAACACGUGGGAACAUAUCCGCUGGUGGGGGAUAACUACCCGAAAGGGUAGCUAAUACCGCAUAAGCCCGAAAGGGGAAAGGUGCAACAGCAUCGCCAGUGGAGUGGCCCGCGGCCCAUCAGCUAGUUGGUGGGGUAAGAGCCCACCAAGGCGACGACGGGUAGCCGGCGUGAGAGCGCGACCGGCCACAAGGACACUGAGACACGGGUCCUACUCCUACGGGAGGCAGCAGUGCGGAAUAUUGGACAAUGGGCGAAAGCCUGAUCCAGCGACGCCGCGUGCGGGACGAAGGCCUUCGGGUCGUAAACCGCUGUGGUAAGGGACGAAUAGCCGGUGGAGUGGAAAGCCACCGGAGGAGACGGUACCUUACUAGGAAGCCCCGGCUAACUACGUG